UGAAGAAAAAGUGUGGGAUUUCAAGGGAUGAAGCUAAUAAAGGGGAGAUGAGAAAUAUGAUACUAAAGUCUUACGGGGUUCCGGUUGGUACUUCGAGUAACGAAUGUCUACCGGGACGUCGCGACGGUUGUUACGGGCUCAAGGGAAUUAUCGAGUUGUGACAGGUACAAAUUGAAGUUCGAUGGCUAAAAUGUGGAUUGAGCAUAAGUUUAGAGACUAAUGGUGUAAUUUACUUGUUGUAAUAGCAAUUUUAUAUAAAAAGACGAAGCAUCUUGAUUCUAUAAUACUUAAACUACUCAUCUAACAACUUUUGGUCAA